AAGGAUUUAAGUUAAGAAUAAACUAUCAGCCUUCAAAGUUGACAAUAGAGGAAUUUUCUAAGCCUUA
rnacentral:tRNA from 1 species